ensembl:lncRNA
GGAACCCAGAAGUUUGAGAGAGUGUGUCUAGAGUUCUGAAGGUAGCAGUCAACUUAGAUAUCUACAUCCAGAAAAAAGUAUCUUUCAAGAAUGAGAGCGAAGAAGUCAUUUUCAGGAAAAAUCUAAAAAUAAAAGGAAGAAAUAUGCUACAAUUGGAUCACCUUAAAAGUCAUUCUGAAAGGUAGAUAAACUUCAGGAAGCUAGUCUGACAAAGGAAGGGAUGAUGAGCAGUCCAAGAUGAGACCCAAGGUAUAGUCUGGCCCUUUCUUCAAGCUAGCACUUGAAGUGGCUGCUGGGGAAGAAGAGACAACCUGCAAGCUGUGUAACCUUAUGAGCUCAAACGUCUCUUUCCAACAUGGGAACUGCAGUGUCAGCACUAGAAGCACCGCAUAACAUGGGCCCAUCAGUUCCUGCUCAAUGCAGACAGUAACCAGAGAGUUUCUAUGCUAUCUGCAGGAUACAUCUAUCAUGAGCCCUUUGUAACAAAUGGAGCCGUGAUUCCCUCUGCAGCAAGAUAGCCCCACGUUGCCACAGGGCUCCACAUCAGUAAUUGCUGGAGAGAAACCCACUCGAGCCUCCUGAGCUGAAAACAGGACAACAGGACUGGACGCAGAUCUGCCUCCCUGGUCCUCUCUCUGCCCACAGAGUGAUUGGAAUGCAGAACCAAUGGGAGCAGCAUGAAGCACUGUUACAGCACAUCUACAAAGCUACAUGCCAUCGGGAAUUAAAGCAGACUCUUGUGUUUUGUCAGCUUUAGCCAAAUAAUGUGAGCUUGCAGAGCCGUGGCCUCCCAACAGCACAAGGCCCAGAGGAAAUGGCCCAGAACAGAGGCCAACAUCCAUUAAGGGCGUCCACAGGGACAGCCAGAGUGCGUCUCCCCAUCUCCCCAGGCAGAUGGUCACACUGGCGGUUGAGCCAGUGUCUGCCCAGUGGAAGGAGGAAAGACAGAGCACGGUGGUAGCUGCCAAGCGCUGGAAUGAGCAGCAGCCACUGGGGAAUGGACUGAAGCAGAGACUUCAUGCUGCAGGGAAGAAAGUUCAGCUUAGAAGAGAGUACCCUGUGCACUGCUCCUCAGGAUGCUCCUCUUGACUCUCCUCCUCCAUCAGUCUCCUGACCACAGUCCUAUUCUAGUCCUUGGGGUCUUCCCCGCAUGGUGACCUUAAAGCAACGACACCAAAGUCCCCUCUGAUCCCACCAAAGCCACCCUAAUUCCUAAAAUCCCUAGGGCCCCUGUAGGCUCAAACCACACCCUCCACUCACCUGUUUCAAUAUGUCUCCCCAGCUGUACCCAACACUCUCUCCUGGCUCCACUGUUUCUUCACAGCCUGCCAUCCACGCACCAGCAAGCCAAGACAAGAGAUCUCCUCCCUGGACUACACUAAAAUGAUUCUCUGGCUUUUACUCUUGGACAGCUAGCUUCCUGCUCUCCUUUUUGCUGCCUGCCCACUCCAGAAGGCUGCCUGCCAGCCUUCUAGAUAUCUGACUCAGCCACUGGCUCAGCUCAGAUCAGCCUUGCUGUUCAUCCACCCCUAGUCCCAGCUUGAGGUGGGCUAGACAUUUGAUUCAAGAACCCCUUUGAUUUCGAUAUCUCUGUAGCCUCAAGGAAGAUACUCAAGCACCAGAACCCUGCUGAGCACUAGAGGAGCCUCCCUGGGGCAGUCAUCCCAGCUUCCUUCCUGAGAAGGGGGAUUCAGACAGUCCUGAUAACUCCUUUCCCUCUGCACUACUGUCCACGCUAUUCCUGUGCCUAAAACAACAUUGACAGGUCUCUGUGCUCUGUCACCAGUACUGCAACACCAAAGAAGUACCUCAGCCAGGCACCCAGCUUCUGAUCCCAGGGAGCAUUCUAUUCUCUCUCACUUGAUCACGUCCACCUCACAUGAGGGCCUGCCAUACUGCUGCAGGUUUGUGUGCAUCCCACUUCCUCUACCCAAAAGCACAAUCAUUAUGGCACACACCGUCCCCACCUUUAUGUGUCCUUCAAAAUCGAGUAAAAUACCUUGGUAGGUACCUUGGGCCUGAGUAAAUUUUACUGAGUUGAGUCAUGACCCAUUUGAUGUAUGUUGGAGAGAAACAAUAUGGGACAGCUCUGCAGGCCACUGGGUGGUGCCCCUUCCUCUGGGAAACCCAACCCCUCCCUCCAGUGCUUCAUUUGAGGUCGUGGUAAAAAUUAGUUUCCAAACCAAACCACAGGUCGGUCUCCACUCCUUCUGUGAUGACGCAGGUGUGGUGCAAACCACACCAACUCAGUGCUCCUCACAUAUCCCUUUGUGUGUUUCUGCCUUUGAUUUAUGCAAAUGAAUUUUGCUCCCCAAAUACAAGUUCCUCACCAGGAAGGCCCUAACGUUGAUUACUAUAUUUAUAUUUUAUCAAUAUUUGGGAUUCAAUUUUUGAUAUAUGUUUUCAAGGCAUCUCUAUCUGAAUGAGCCAUCGCAGAAGCAACAGAACUCUGCCUGAAAGCAAAAGGGCCAGCAGGAAAAAAGGAAAAGUCAUCUGUGUCUAGUGUUUUCUGUGUGUCAGGCACUCAGUGCUCCAGACUAUUAAUCCAUUUCAUUUCCAGUCAACUUCAUGGAGUAGCUGUAAUUAUCAUCCCCAAUUUGCAAAUGAGGAAACUAAGACAGGGAGAGCUUAAAUAACUUCACACAAAGUCAAGUCAGCACCCACAUUCUCAGCCACUUUCGACUGUUUACUGCCCAAGUUAUCAGCUGUGUUCUGGGCUCUGAGCUGGCACAGCAAGGAUGGGGUGCCAGGAGGGCUCCUCUCUGCCUCUCCAAGGAAUCCUAACUUCCCCAGGAAGUGAGGAGUGGAAGGUUCUGCAUCUCUAACUUUCUCUUCUACCUGUGUAGGGAAUUUUUAACCUCCUUGUUAGUGAUCAGCCAGGGAAAGAUGUAAAAUGCUGCUCAUUGUGCUUGCUGAACUCAAGGUACCAAAGGGUGACUCAGCAAAGCUGAGAGUCAAGAGCCAUUUCUUUCCUGGUUACUUAGAAUCCUAUGUGCAAACUAUAGAGUCUCAUGAAAAACUAAGCCUCUUUCUAACAGCCAGCUCUAGCUUGCCAGCCAUGUGAGUGGCUUCCUUGGGAGUUGAUGCCCUAGCCUCAGUCAAGCCUUUAGAUGAUCCAUCCUCAAAUAACAGCCUGACUGAAACCCCAUGGGAGUUCCUGAGCUGGAAGCACCCAGCCAAGCCCCACCUGGAUCCUGACCCCGAGAAACUGUGUGAGUUAAAUGUUUGCUGUUUAAGCUGCUAAAUUUGAGGAUAAUUUGUUAGACUAAAGUCAAUAACUAGUAAGAUUAUGCAUUUGCAUAUAUUAUCUCUUGUAUUAGGUUUUAGAUUCCUUGAAACGAUGAUUCAGUAUAUCAUGUUGUAUCUAGCACAGUGCCUAAAACCUGAUUAAGUCCUCCAGAAAUGUUCUUUGCACACAUGAAUAAAUGAAUGAAUUUCUUAUCAACAUCAGGGCUAAUUUUAUUUGUCACACUUUUAUUAAGAAUCUAAUGGGGGACAGCCCGGUGGUGGAGUGGUUAAGUUCACACGUUCGGCUUCUCGGUGGCCCGGGGUUCGCCAGUUUGGAUCCCAGGUGCGGACAUGGCAUUACUUGGCAAAAAGCCCUGCUG